rnacentral:lncRNA from 1 species
AGACGCAGGGCGGGCAAUGGCCGCCUGGGUCUCUCGGGCAGCCCUGCCCACCUCUCUCGCGUCUCCUGGUCUUGGCCUGCGGCUCUCUUUCUGGCAGGUGCCGCGGCGUCUCCUGCGGGCCUGACCGUGUUCUCCCGCCUAGCCAGGCUCUUCUGCGCUCCUUUUUUGUUGAGAUUUUUCCAUCCCCUGCACAGGAAGUGUCCUUUAAUUACUCCAGUGUUUUUUUAGUUACUUUUUAAGAAACAUUUUGGACUUUUCGAUACAGAAUAGUGUCAAAAAAAAAAUUUAACCUUCUUCAGGUUAUAUUUUAGUGAAUGAUAUUAAUAUAUGUUCCAAAGUUGUAUGGGAUUUCUAAAAUUCUAAUUUUUCUGAGUAUAUGCUACCGAUCAUAAUUAUGGUUAUGUUGUUGUUAUAACCAAAUUUCUUUGUCAAUUGUGUCUUUUUGAGUAUUUAAAGUCAUUUCCGCAGUUAAUUGCUUCAUGCUGAUGUAGUUUCUGAAAACUUCACAAGCACACAAAAAUCCUAGAACAUGGUGUCUUUUAGGAGGUUCGUGAACGGAUGGGGAGGACCCUGAAAAGCACUGUGGAAUACAGGUUUCUAGUAACUUCAAAAUCACAUCAUUUGGACUGGGUAAGAAUUGCUGAAACUUUAAUGAAAAGACUGACUGGCUUAUAAAACUGCUAACCCAAAUAGAAUAAAAAUUAAUUGAAUACCGAGGAAAUGCUUCACCAGAACCCAAAGAUGGGAUCUUCUGAGAACAUCAGAGAAACGCUGCCCUUGGCAUCAUCACUGCAACAAAACAUCAGGAUCUUGAACCUUGGGGUCAUAAUCUCACAACUGAGCAGGGUCACUCUUGGAACUCUACAUCCAUUGAAACCCUUAAGGUAAAGCUAAUCAGGGAAGUUUCUCCCCAGAAGAAGAUGGCAUCCUUGAUGUGA